UACGUAGGGUGCAAGCGUUGUCCGGAAUUAUUGGGCGUAAAGAGCCCGUAGGCGGUCCGUCACGUCGGCUGUGAAAACUCAGGGCUCAACCCUGAGCCUGCAGUCGAUACGGGCAGGCUAGAGUCCGGCAGGGGAGACUGGAAUUCCUGGUGUAGCGGUGAAAUGCGCAGAUAUCAGGAGGAACACCGGUGGCGAAGGCGGGUCUCUGGGCCGGAACUGACGCUGAGGAGCGAAAGCGUGGGGAGCGAACAGG
rnacentral:rRNA from 1 species